rnacentral:rRNA from 1 species
CGGGUGCGUAACACGUGAGCAACCUGCCUUUGGUGGUGGGGGAGUAGCCGGGCUAACGCCCGGGUAAUACCGCAUACGGUCAUCGAGAGGAGUCUCUUGGUGAAGAAACCUCCGGGGCACAGAGAGGGGCUCGCGGCCUAUCAGCUAGUUGGGGGGGUAAUGGCCCACCAAGGCGACGACGGGUAGCUGGUCUGAGAGGAUGGCCAGCCACAUUGGGACUGAGAGACGGCCCAG